GGUGUGGUGAACACGUGCUGACUGAAUGGGAGCCCUCGUGAACAACCGGCUAGACCAAUCGCAAUUGCUGACUCAACUUGUUUCUGAUUGGUCAGAGGUCUAAAUCAUUGUCUGAGGCCAGUUUCACACGGGCUGCCACUUGCACUCUGCAUGCACAGCACUUCCCAGAGCUCUGUGUCAAGAUGGAUUUAUAAUGGGAUUCAUAAUGAUGAAAAUCUUGAUUGAUUAACAUGAACGGGCAAUUAAGAUGAGCACUCAACCCGCUGCACCUUGGUCCAUGACGUACGACGACCGUUACAGUGACAGACCAACAACUUUAAUGAGAGAUGUGGUGAUAGACUACUAGAGCCUGAGAAAUCCCCCAAGAGAGAACUCCAAGCUAACCAGACAAAACAACAGUGAAACUCCAACAUGUCACUGAGAGCCCACAGAAAACCAGACGCCAUCCUAUUCACUCUGUAGUCUCAAGACCAUGCCAUGCCUCAAGAUGAUUCUGCAAUCCACAAGACAAACAAGACAGUAGAACAAUUAGUGCAUUUACUUUGUGUCUCAAUCUCUUUGUCAUAGGGCCAAAGAAAUGUAUGAAACUCAAGAUGUGCUACAAACUGUCAGUUGCCAAGCAAGUGUCUGGGACAUGGCAGCCAAUGGGAGACUGCAUGAACAACUCCCCUUAACCAAUCAGAGCUCUGAUAAGGAGCGUGUGAAAUGCCUUUAGCUACCUGAGAUAAGGACCAAACUUCCCAUGUUGUUUUUGCCCCAGUUACCUUGAGACUCACAGAGCCAAACCAUAUAAACAGGCUUUCUAACCUCUCAAACAUGUUUUUAUAGUGAUGCUGUUUGUAGAGUUGUCAAAUGAUUUCUUUCAAAAAGUUCAAGUGAAGGUUGAUGAAGUCAAAUCUAGAACUCUGGGUUGAAUUCCAAUGUAUUCCAAAAAUCAAAUUGUUCCUUUCACUUUCUCUUAGACCCUCUGCUUUUAAUCUAAUUUGACUGGUCGUGAACUUGGCACUGUGACACACUUCCAUGAAUUGAUUGCAGGUGUAAAAAUACUUUCUCCCAUGCUGGGGCCUCAGAGCACUAAUGAACACCAUAUAAAAUUAGCGCCCACUAAUCCAAGGAUUUCAAUGUCUUAAUCAACAGGCUACUAUCUGACAGGGUGCACACUUGCCCUGUCCUUGCAAAGACAUUCCAGCACCUUUAAGUACAGAACGGAUGGCUCAGCAAUAGGAGAUAACUCACAAUGCUUGCAUUAACAGAUGCAUAUUUAAAAUAGAUUAAACAGAUCUAAGUUACAUCAUAUUAAUACGGUCUGGUGGUGCUGGUUGCAAUGGCUAGCUUUACACCUACUGCCCUGGGCUUCAGUGGAGUGGAGUGUCUUCUCUAUGACAUCAUUCUCAGAUGAGUUUCCUGAAGCUUUGUGACUUAUAUGGUCCUUUAUUUCUUUUGGCGACCCAAACACACACCACUCAUAGAACCGCUUUAUUUGAUGAAUUUGGUUUGUUCAUGCACAGAGGAUUGACUGUCAAAUUGAUGUUAUACUUUUUACUCUAUAAUGACUGAGCUUUUACUGGACCUAUAGAGAGAUGUGGAUCUUUAUCAAUAACCAUGCCGUUUCUGUGUAUAUCUCAAUACACAUUUUUUAUUUUUAUUGAUUAGGGACAGAAUACAUUUCACAAAUGUCUCAGAAAUAGAAUCCACGUUGUUCCUGAGGAUCUUUGUAUUGCCAACUGGGUGAAAGGGAAGCUGGUAAUGAGAUCAGUCUAGAUGGGGCUACUCAGUCAGACUCGCUUUGAUAUAAUUCUCUCAGACAGAUCCCAGAACAGGUCUCAUAUUACGUCCUCUCGGCUCAGGGAGUCGCUGGACAUGACCUUGUUUGCUCCACCUCUAGGCUUUGCUUGCCGUUGAACGUUCCAAAACAAAUGCAUUUACACCACGUGUUGCAUGUCACCCGAGUGCCUGGAUUUAAAACGAUUUAAGCAAUGUGAUCUCCACUGCG
rnacentral:lncRNA from 1 species